rnacentral:tRNA from 1 species
UGGGUCGUAGCAUAAUGGUAAUGCACCUGUUUUUGGUACAGUAGAGUGCAGGUUCGAGUCCUGCCGACCCAG